rnacentral:rRNA from 1 species
GGAGGUAGUGACAAUAAAUCACAAUGCGGAACUUCUGUUUUGCAAUUGGAUUGAGAACAACGCACAACACUUAUCGAUAAACAAUUGGAGGGCAAGUCUGGUGCCAGCAGCCGCGGUAAUUCCAGCUCCAAUAGCGUAUAUUAACGUUGUUGCAGUUAAAAAGCUCGUAGUUGAAGUGAAGUGUGAAUCUUCUGGAUUUUCGUUAGAAUUUCCAGCUGCUUCAUACUCUUUCCAAAUAGUUUGCAUGGGUAUUCACUUAUCUGUGUAUUGCAUUUGGUCAUUUACUGUGAGAAAAUUAGAGUGUUCAAAGCAUACGUUUGUUUGAAUACAUUAGCAUGGAAUAAUUCGAAAAGGCUUUCAUGUUCGAUUUGAUUGGUUUGUUCGUGAAGGCAAGAUUAAAAGGGACAGUUGGGGGUAUUCAUAUUCAAUAGUCAGAGGUGAAAUUCUCGGAUUUAUGGAAGAUGAACAAGUGCGAAAGCA